UACGUAGGGGGCUAGCGUUGUCCGGAUUUAUUGGGCGUAAAGAGCGUGUAGGCGGCCAGGUAGGUCUGGUGUGAAAACUCGAGGCUUAACCUCGAGAUGUCAUCGGAAACCAUCUGGCUAGAGUCCGGAAGAGGAGAGUGGAAUUCCUGGUGUAGCGGUGAAAUGCGCAGAUAUCAGGAAGAACACCAAUGGCGAAGGCAGGUCUCUGGGCCACUACUGACGCUGAGAAGCGAAAGCAUGGGGAGCGAACAGG
rnacentral:rRNA from 1 species